AUUGAACGCUGGCGGCAUGCCUUACACAUGCAAGUCGAACGGCAGCAUGGAAGAGCUUGCUCUUCUGAUGGCGAGUGGCGAACGGGUGAGUAAAGCAUCGGAACGUACCGUGUAGUGGGGGAUAACGUAGCGAAAGUUACGCUAAUACCGCAUACGCACUGAGGUGGAAAGCAGGGGAUCGCAAGACCUUGCGCUAUACGAGCGGCCGAUGUCAGAUUAGCUAGUUGGUGGGGUAAAGGCCCACCAAGGCGACGAUCUGUAGCUGGUCUGAGAGGAUGAUCAGCCACACUGGGACUGAGACACGGCCCAGACUCCUACGGGAGGCAGCAGUGGGGAAUAUUGGACAAUGGGCGAAAGCCUGAUCCAGCAAUGCCGCGUGAGUGAUGAAGGCCUUAGGGUUGUAAAAGCUCUUUUUACCCGAGAUGAUAAUGACAGAUCGGGNGAAUAAGCUCCGGCU
rnacentral:rRNA from 1 species